CCACUGGGGAUGGAGCCCGCAACCCGGGCCUGUGUCCUGACCGGGAAUGGAACCGUGACCUCCUGGCUCAUAGGUCGACGCUCAACCACCGAGCCACCUGUCUUGAAGAGAACGGCCCACGGGGACCCACCCGCUGGCCCCACACUGGUCACCCUGCCACAUUCAGCCUGUGGCUGGACCCCUGCCACCUGCCUGCCUGCAGGUCUCUAUUCCCAGGGCUGCCAGAGAGGUGGGGCUGGUCCACCCGGGCACACGGGAGCCGAGGCACAUGGAGGGGACGGCUUCCCCCAGGCAACGCGCUCUGCCUCGGCGGCCCCGCCAUCCAGUCUCCUCAGCCUCGGUUCAGCCGGGGCUCCUUUUUGUUCCUCCCGUGUUUUGAGGCAUUUCCGAAACAGCCACUGCUGUCUGAACCUCUGAAGAGGCCCGUGCCCCUUCGCUGGGGGGAGAGGCCUCACUGCUCGGGCCUGGCCUCGGCCAUGCUCUGGCUUCUUUUUAUGUUUAUAUUUUUAUUGAUUUCUGAAAGGAAGGGAGAGGGAGAGAGGUAGAAACAUCAGUGAUGAGAGAGAAUCAUGGAUCGGCUGCCUCCUGCACGCCCACUACCGGGGGCCGAGCCCACAACCAUGGCAUGUGCCCUGACUGACCGGGAAUCGAACUGUGACGUCCUGGUUCAUAGGUCGACGCUCAACGACUGAGCCACAGAGGCCGGGCAUGUUCUGGUUUCUGAUGCUUCCACACGGAGCCUCCCCUCUCCCGUGACCUGGACCCAGACCUGAUUGCACAUCUGCUGUGCGCCAGGCACUCACAGCAGCCUCCCUGCUCAGGGGACACCCCGCCCCACGUUAGAGAAGAUCCGAGAGCUGCCAGGGUGAGGGGCUCGCUCCGGGUCGGACAGGGCCGCUGCAGAACGAAGCCGACCCGGGUGAGCUCCACGGCUGCCACAGGCUCCUUCGGCCUGGAGCCUCUCAUUCCCGAGGCCUGGGGACCAUCUGGCCUGCGGCUAGAGCAGCCGAUCUGUGGGAGGAGCCGCCCUGUGAUUUCUUCUCUGGGAGGUUCCCAGGGUUAUUUUUUUCCUCCUUCCCAAACGCCCAGGCUGCCGUGUUCCCACCUGAGGUCAUUAGCCUCAGCUCAGGUUCAAAAACACAGUGUUUGUGUCCAUUCGUCUAAUUGCCAGGAACCAUCAAGCCCUCAUUACCAGCCGCCUAAUUAUUCUGAAAACCAGCAUAUUAUCCUGUGGAACAAUUAGAAGCAUUUGCCACACCUGCCGGGGGACAGGAGGGAACCCUGGCUCGAGGCAGGUGGAGGGGAGGGGGCCGGGCUGCUCUGGGAAAAAGCGAGGCGUCUGCAGGCGCCGGCCUGAGACAAGGGAGCCGGCAGGCGCCCACCCACCUGCUUCUGAUUAUCUUCCGUCCCCCCGACUUGCAAAGCCACUAACAAGUGUUUCCCCUUAAUGAGCAGGGCGGAUGGGACCCCACCGGCCGGAGGGGACGUCGCUACAGAGCGGAUCCUACUUGUCACCACUCGGCCUGAGUAAAAGCCUUACCUGGUGUGGUAAACAGAGUGGCCUGGGCGGUUUCUAAGAAGAGCUAUGAACCUGAGCCAAGUGUCUGCUUGUUCGCACCGGAAGCGUCCUGCACUGUGACCCCUGACCCUGACCCCUCAUGCUGGGGGCUCCUUCUGGGGUGCGGGAAGUGACUCGGGGGUGGCCCUGCGGGCGGGGGAGGGCUUUGUCCACAUGAUAGUCUGACAUGCACCCCAGAACUGGAAGGUCUGGAGUGGAAGAGGCUUGCUAGUCGGCUCCUGCGACCUCCUGAUUAUUGAUAAGGGGGCACGUCCGCAGAGGAGGUAUCAUUGGGGUGAGGAAACUGAGGCACAGAGCGUUGAAGCAGCAUACCCACGGUUCUACAUAGCUCUUAAGUAGUAGAGCUGAGAGUGGAACACAGGUGGUCCGGCCCCAUGGCCAAUGCCUCAGUGAUUCUGCACCACCUCCAUGCACUGCCCAACCUCACCCAGCACCAAGCACAGCCCCCACCCUGCGAGACUGUCCCGUGGGUCACUGUGACACCAACAGGAAGUGGCAGCCUCAGGGCCCUCCGUGCCGCAGCCCCCAGCAGUAUGGCACCAGAGGGGAAUGGGCAGCGGAUGUGCAGGGCCUCUGGGCACCAGCCUGGCUGCACCAGGAUGAAGCACAGGACACAGGGUGAAUGUAAGGGUUUGGAGCGCUGAGCUGCGGUGUCAAAUGGGAACUCUCACCUCACCUGCUCAGGACCCUCGGGGACUUCAGCACUUUGGCUGGUGGGGUGACAACGAUGCAACGGCGGCGUGGGAGGAGGCAGACACGCGUGUGGACAGCGUGGGAGUGGGUCCCGCCCGGGGUGGAGGCUCUCACACAGCUGCUGUUGCUUUAAACAAGACGUGAUGCGGCCCGCGGUUCGCCCCUUAUUGCGGAGGCCUCGCUGGCUUCGCGUGAUGGUUGAGACGGCGACUCUGGCAUCUGGCCGGUUCUCUACUCUGUGAACUUGGGAAAGGAUUGUCGGAGGGUCUCUAAGGAGCGAGAACGAGCGGACACGUCUCUGCCCGGGGUCCGGGCAGCCUGCUGGCCCGUUUCCGGACGAGAACAUGGAGGCCCCAGGCGCCAAGGAGCUUGGCUCCGUGGUGCAGAGAGAAUUCGAAGGAAGAUAAGCUGGUGACAGUCCCGUGGACCAUCCUUUUGUGGAACUUUUUUUUACCUUAUUUUUAUUCUUGGCUACAUGUGAGCCCUUUAGAUCAACCUGCUCUUUAUGGGCCACAGUGACAACCAUCUGUCCCUGACCCAGCCUCUAACUCCAAUUCCUGUGCCCAGCGGCGGUCACUGUCCACUGUCUAAGGUCCUCCUGACACUCACCUCUCUCUGAAAACAUUACACAGACAUGUA